AUUGAAAUUGCUGGGUCACAUGGUAAGAGUAUGUUUAGUUUUAUAGGAAACUGCCAAAUUGUCUUCCAAAAUUGUUAUCCCAUUUUGUAUUCCCACCAGCAAA
rnacentral:pre_miRNA from 1 species